rnacentral:misc_RNA from 1 species
CAGCAGCGAGCGGCGGCGGCCAGUCGACUGUCGAUACGGCUGAUGCGAGGGGUGGUUACUUUCGAGUAGCUUGACGUGCGACACUCUGUCAGCUCGAAGUCCAUACACUUCUCGAGUUGCAUGCGUUUUAAAGGAUAGCUAUGCACUUUCCAAACGACGACGAUGAUGUUGAUUUCGCAGUACAGCCUGGAAGCUCGAAACUUGCGAACCUCUUUUCUGACAACGACGCCGCGAACGCCGGUAACAGUUCACUAACUUACACGCCUCCGAGGCAACCAUCCGUCGGCAAAAUUCCUGCUGAUAAACAGUCGUCUUCGUCUGGCACCUUAGCACUACUACACGCUGCCUUUGUCCAGGCAUUCAAGUAUGAAGGAAAACAGCCAAGCAACCAGGGAAGGCUAGGCAUUGCGGUGCUGGGAAACCACGACACAUCAAACUACAAGCUUAUUUUGUACAAAGAGAAGCAGCAACAGGUGGCUGGUGCGGCAAUUAAUGCACAAUUUGCAAUCAGGGUACAGGGCAACAACUUCUUGAGCUUCGUUGAUGAGAAGCGAUUCAACUGGUCUGUGAAGUUUGACAGCGAAGAAGCACUCAUCAAUUUUGCAAAGCAGGCUGUCAUAGCCAAGGCAGAAAGUCAUGGGGCUGGCCUUCUUGACCUGGAUAAUGUCAUAAGCCAGGACCUAAUCCUUGGUGAAGGUGAAAGCGAGGCCCUCAAAAUUGGCAGUACAGCGGUAAUUAAAUAUACUGCUUGGGUCUUACGAGAGCAUCGCCUCAAAAAGGUCCUUGACACUACUGACAUUGAUGAGCCACAGAAGCUCAAGCUUGGCAGAGGAAAACAAGUCAAGGGUUUGGAGGAGGGCCUUGUUGGAUGCAGAAAGAAUUCUCGCCGGUUUCUUGUGCUGCCUCCGUCGCAGGGUUAUGGCUCCAAAGGCAUGGGGACCACUGUACCACCAAACGCUGUUCUUGUGUUUGAUGUCUCUGUUGGCUCUAUUAGCAAGUCCAAGUCUGCUACAAAGGAGAACACGCCAAGAUCAUCCACCCCAGUUUCUGGUGCAGCUGAGGGCACUGAGAGAAAAGAAGCUAGGAGUCAUUCGCAAGGCAGUGUGGAUGAACCAGCACGUUCGCGAGCACCUUCUGCUCCCCCAGACUGGCCACCACAGCAGCCAGCCACCAAUCCAGCCGUGGCUCCAGCAACAGCAGUAGCCAGUGGUGGCGAGAGUGACAAGGCACGGCUACUUUCACGCAUGGCCAAGAUGGGGGCCCAAAUGCUGCCUAUGCCCGGAGCAGUCCCGGCUCAGCCCAGCAGUGACUCUGAAGUAGAGGAUGAACGGCCACCAGUGGCUCACCAGGCUCCAGCAGCGGUGCCUUUGCCACAACACGCUGCUAGAGAAGGCUCCCCCAAGCCAAUGGUGAAACCACGCACCUUCUCACAGCACUCCUUAGGAGACGCAGUUUCGCAUCCAACUCCACUUCCACCUACACUGCAGCCCAUGGUCAGCUCUUAUGCCCCAGGGCCAGCAGCCCCCACCAUGCCUGCAGCCCCGCACAUGGCCCUGUACCAAGCGCAGAGCCAGCUUGCAGGUGGACUGAUUUCCUACCCCUACCAGCAUCAGGGCUUCCUGCUGCCACCAGGAGCACAUUCCUACUCUGCUGCUGUGCCAACAACCACGGGUGCAGCAGUUGACAUGCAGCUGCCCUUGCUGCUAUCAGAGACACGAGCACAGAAUACGGAAGUCCGAUUGAACAUUACCAAGCUAGCCGACAAGGUGGAUGACAUCCUCAGAAAGCUGGAUGCGGUGAAGUCCCAGCUGCCUUCAGCUCCGCUACUGGGCUCUCACAUGGACAGCGAUGUACUGCUUUACAACAUCCAGAAGAUGGUCCAGGACAAUGAGAAGCUGAAAAAUGAUAACUCCGAGAAAGACCAAAAGAUCCAAGGACUUAAUGAGAAGAUUUGUGACCUGCUACAGAAAAACCAGAGGCUCAUGGAGGAGAGUAACAGCAUGUUUGAGCAGAGGAGUGAUGCUAUGCACAGCUCUGCAUCACAUUCCCAAGCACGCCUCUUGGCUUUAGAAACUGAAAAGAUGGAGGUGACCGAGCGCCUGGCCCAGACCCUCUCUGAGCUUUCUUUGCUAAGAGCUGAGCUGAGCGAAAGGCAGCAGAAGGAGUCCCAGGCACUCAAGGAGCUCGAGGGGCUCCGUAGUACAUCUGAAGGUAAAGAAGGCACUUUGAAGUCAUUGGAGGACAGACUGAUGAUGCAAGCGGAGCAGCAGAGAAAACAGUUAGAGGAAACAAUAGAAACUUAUGAGAAGAAGUUGGCAGCUUGCAAUGAAAUGUGUGUCGCAAAGGAUUCUGCGGCCAAGGAUCUUGAACAGAGCCUUGCUUUGUGUAAUAAAGAGCGGAGCGAACUUCAGUCACAAAUUCAUCAGCUUAGAAGGAAACACAAGGAGGAAAUUGAUUCACUUGAAUCCAGGAUCUCCCAGCUAAGUGCCAAAGCAGAAUCAGAGUGCCAAGAGUUGGAAAAGCAGAAGCAGCUGCAGCAAGAAAAUCAAGCUUCUGGUGCUGCUAGCACAUCUGCCGCAGCUUCCUUUAAUUUUGAUGCUGAGUUGAAAAAAAUUAUGAACGUGCUAUUCAAGCUGCUUCAGCGAGAGUUCAGCAGUCAAGAAACCUAUUCAAGGAAGGAGGCCAUGCAAAUAAUUCUCGCCACUAUCAGGGACUACACAACAGAAGUCCUGCAGAGGAGACAAGCCCCUUCAACCAGUAACAAUGGCACCAGCAGGAGUUCCCCUGCAUCCACCACCAGUAGCAGCACUGGCAGCCCAUCAGCCAGUGGCACCACAAGAACGACCACUAGUGCCACUGCUAGUGCCCCCACUAGUGAGGCUGCUGCCCCGCAGCUUCCAAAAAACCUUAACGAAACUGGAAAACAGGAAGGCAAGAACUAUGGAAGCCUUGACACACCAUCUGUGACAGAGGAGCCUUCAUCGGCUGCGCCCACGGGUCCGGCUGGCGAUGUUGUGUCUGGACAUCGCAGCGAGCACCUGGACCAUGCACCUGAAGAUUCUCAUCCGAAAGUGUCCGUUGACAAGCUAGCUGAAACAGCUGAAGAACCUGGUCACCAUAAAGUGCCAGUCACACAAGCUGGCGAGGAGGAGACAGCAGAAAGUACCAAAGAAGAGGCAUCAGGCGAUGCAAGAUUAUCUAGUUCAGCUGAAGGUAAGACUGAACCAGAACCUCCAGCUCAGAGCGAGGGCGUUCAGCCACAAGACUGGGAGUCCUUUCUCACAUCGCUGCAGCAGGCUAGUCGUGUGUACGGACAAAACAUUCCUCCCAUGUGGAUGACCUUGCUUAGUUUGGCUGGCCUCAUAGUAAGCCUGCUAGCUGUGAGGUAUGGCUUAUACUACUAAGCAAGUCAUGGAAGCCACAACCACCGCCACCCCCACUCUUCGAUGAAUAUGAAGAUGAUGAUUGGUUGAACUGACUUACAUUGGCCACUUGCGGACAGUUGUGAUUGGAACAUUUCCAUGGCUUCCUUUUCUACUUCGGCAGUUAUUGCAAAGCCUGUGCAGUAAUGUUAUAAGGGACACAAGUCAGUGCAAGAUGUAGCACAGAGACCUCGGCAAGUCUGAUGAGGAGCAACACUUAGCCUUUGUUUGAACUGUAGUGUGCUGUUGACAUUUUAUACCAAUAAAUAUUAUAAAUACAUGGAAUGCACACUUUGUUAAGGUGUGUAUGUAUUAACUUCUCUGUCAGUAAAUAUGUUUAAAUGUACAGAUUUUGGAUAAACACUUUUAGACA